GAUGAACGCUGGCGGCGUGCUUAACACAUGCAAGUCGAACGGAAAGGCCCAAGCUUGCUUGGGUACUCGAGUGGCGAACGGGUGAGUAACACGUGGGUGAUCUGCCCUGCACUUCGGGAUAAGCCUGGGAAACUGGGUCUAAUACCGGAUAGGACCACAUUUUGGAUGGUGUGGUGGAAAGUUUUUCGGUUUGGGAUGAGCUCGCGGCCUAUCAGCUUGUUGGUGGGGUAAUGGCCUACCAAGGCGUCGACGGGUAGCCGGCCUGUGAGGGUGUACGGCCACAUUGGGACUGAGAUAAGGCCCAGACUACUACGGGAGGCAGCAGUGGGGAAUAUUGCACAAUGGGCGCAAGCCUGAUGCAGCGACGCCGCGUGGGGGAUGACGGCCUUCGGGUUGUAAACUCCUUUCGCUAGGGACGAAGCGCAAGUGACGGUACCUGGAGAAGAAGCACCGGCUAACUACGUG
rnacentral:rRNA from 1 species